AGUCAACAUAUUCUGGCCGAUAUUCCUCUACGAUCGAAACCUGAUCUACCCCGAGUACAUAGACCGAGCCUUCCCUGACGAAAGCAACUACAUCAUGCAUAUAGCCAUACUGCCUGUAGUAUUUUGGGAGUUAAUCUUUUUGCCAAGGAAGAUUCCCAUCUCACAUAGGAAGUAUAUAGUGUUCUUCAGCAUGGUAUAUGGAGCUUAUUUGUUGAAGAUAUUCCACGUGAACGCAAACCAUGGACUAUGGCCUUAUCCAAUUCUGGAGAAGAUUCAAGGUACAAUAUUCUUCCCCAUUUUCUUCAUUUUGGCAUACUUAAUGUUAUACGGACAUUACUACCUACAGUGGAAAAUCACCAGGUUCAUAUGGGGAUAUGCAGAUAUGAAGUUUUCAUAGGAUAGUUUAAAUAAACUAUUAAUAAUAUAUUAAUUAAAAUAAUAGUUAUAAUAUAAUUUAAGUAGGUAAUAAUAUAGUUACAUGGCCACUUUUUUCUGACACUAGUUAUAUUAAGUUUUACUAUCGCUCGUUCUAGAAUCUUAAUGUGAUAGAGAGAGACGAAUAGAUAAGAAAUACGUUACAAUAACAUAACCCCCCGAUUUUAGUCAACGGGUUUUUUGUAACAGUUACAAUACAAAACAGUAGAUGUUAUAUUUUUUUACAAGAAUAAUUUAUGCUGAAUGUAGUAAUUUUAAUAUGAACAUCACAAACUUGACUGCUUUUAUUUUUUAUAUAUUUUUCAACUAUUAUUGUUACAUGUAUGUUAACGUAUAAAAAUACUUUUUUUAAUGUAGUUAUUUUUGUGUUGUUUAUAUUGUACUAUGUUUAAUUAUGAAUGUUUAUCAAUAAAUUAGGUUAAGCUUUCUUGCAAAAGAAAUGGGGCACUUAGUUCAGCCUUGCUCAUGACUGGUAAGUCCUUCGUGAGUUUUCACCUAGAACAAAAAUUGCCUUGGAACAAAUCCAUGCAGGUUUUUCCUCGACCUGAUGGCAGUGUAUUUAUUUUCUUUUUUUUCUUCCAUUUUCCUUUCUUUUUUCGUCAUGACUGACAUCAGGUGGCUAAGAUAGAUUCCUGCCUCAGUGCCACAAAAUGGCGCUGAAAGUUUUAGAAAACACUAUUGUUAUAAUGAUGAAUUAUGUGAUUUGGUCCCAAUAUUUCUAUCUUUGUUAUAAAACAAAAAAAUAUAGACGAUAACUUCAAAAGUUUCCUUUAUUUAUAUUUUUUUGUUAAUAAA